GAGCAUGAAAAGUGAGUGUAGCCGGAUGGAGACACCCUCCGGUUCUUCUGGGCUUUUCUGGAAACAGCCUGGAGAGGGUACAGCAGAGGGUACCAAGAUGAUGAGGGGCCUGGAGCAUCUCCCUUACAAGGAGCACAAAAAGCAUCGCUCAUUGCCGAGCAGAACCUUCCUUCACCCUCAGCCCUGCUCUUCCUCCACAGUGGGGUGGUCUCUCCUCUCUUUUCCAGCUCCGUUCAGGACAGGUGAAGACCAUCACACAGUGCAAGCUCCCUCUCUGCCAGCUCAGAGCACACAGGAGGAGCAAAAAUCCCCCCCAGGUUUGUAGGAUUUAAGUCUUCAGAGUGCACAUGCUCAGGCUUUAUUCUAAGCUUUUCAGGGAAGCAAAGAAGACAUGAGAUACCCCCUGUAAUCAUCUGCCUCUGGGAGCUGAUACCAGGUAUCAGAAGAGGUGGUGAAAUCACGGUGUUCAGAGCUGCCUUAUCCAGCUGUGUGUUGCUGGCUAGCCAGCUCCAGCUUGCAGUGUCUAUGAUGGUGUUUCUUGUCUGGUUUCUGCACGGUUGGGAUGAAGAUGAGCCUGAGCAUCGGGCUUGGGAUGUCUGAAAAUCUGAUUCAGUUCCGGGUCUGCCCUCAGCAGUUCC